rnacentral:lncRNA from 10 species
CGCGAAAGAAGUGGGGCAUAGCGGCCCGGGGAAUUCUUGCUAGCUUCCGAUUGGACGAAAGCAGAACGCCUGCCCCUUCGUAGACCCAGCGUACGUACAACGCUCACACCACCACGCCGUACGCUGCGUUAGCGGAAGUUUAAUGGCCCCAUUGGUGGGAUGCGUGGCCAAUAAAGGGCAAGAAUAAGGCGGAUUCCGCCUUCCUCGUGGCUGACUGGAUGCAUCCGCUGGUACUGAUUUACGAAGAGAAUGAUCAUGAAGGGCAAAUGGCAGUGAAGCAAGAAGAGCUGGCUUCAGGCUCAGAAGAGAAUGCUGUGCCUCUUCCUCAUGGUUUGCGGUGCCCUGCAUGUUCAGAGAAACUUCUCUAGUAAUGAAUGAACUAUAGAAAUGAUCCCUGAAAAUAUGGUCUUGAUACUUUAUUUUUGUGGUGGUUUUUUUUGUUUUGUUCUGUUUUUGAUGGAAUUUUGCUCUUGUUGCCCAGGCUGGAGUGCAAUGGCACGAUCUCCACUCACUGCAACCUCCACCUCCCGGGUUCAAGCAAUUCUCCUGCCUCAGCCUCCCAAGUAGCUGGGAUUAUAGGCAUGUGCCACCAUGUCCAGCUAAUUUUGUAUUUUUAGUAGAGACGGUUUCUCCGUGUUGGUCAGGCUGGUCUAGAACUCCCUACCUCAGGUGAUCCACCCG